rnacentral:rRNA from 1 species
GAAUAUUGGACAAUGGGCGAAAGCCUGAUCCAGCCAUGCCGCGUGUGUGAAGAAGGUCUUCGGAUUGUAAAGCACUUUAAGCAGUGAAGGAGACUCCAUGGUUAAUACCCAUGGACGAUGACAUUAGCUGCAGAAUAAGCACCGGCGAACUCUGUGCCCGCAGCCGCGGUAAUACAGAGGGUGCAAGCGUUAAUCGGAAUUACUGGGCGUAAAGCGAGCGUAGGUGGCUUGAUAAGUCAGAUGUGAAAUCCCCGGGCUUAACCUGGGAACUGCAUCUGAUACUGUUAGGCUAGAAUAGGUGAGAGGAAGGUAGAAUUCCAGGUGUAGCGGUGAAAUGCGUAGAGAUCUGGAGGAAUACCGAUGGCGAAGGCAGCCUUCUGGCAUCAUAUUGACACUGAGGUUCGAAAGCGUGGGUAGCAAACAGG